rnacentral:rRNA from 1 species
UACAGAGGUCCCAAGCGUUGUUCGGAUUCACUGGGCGUAAAGGGUGCGUAGGUGGCUUUGUAAGUUUGAUGUGAAAUCUCCGGGCUUAACCCGGAAAUGGCAUUGAAUACUACUUAGCUGGAGGUUUGGAGGGGGGACUGGAAUUCUCGGUGUAGCAGUGAAAUGCGUAGAUAUCGAGAGGAACACCAGUGGCGAAGGCGAGUCCCUGGACAACACCUGACACUGAGGCACGAAAGCUAGGGGAGCAAACGGG